rnacentral:lncRNA from 1 species
UCCGGUUUGAAACCAACUCCCCUCAUCCUGUUACGACUUGCCAUUACAAAAAGUCCCUCCCCAGCAUUCCUGUAGGCCCCUUCAGAUACUGGAAUGCUGCUAUAAGAUCCCCCCAGCACCUUCUCUUCUGCAGGCUGAAAACCCCCAAUUCUGUCAGCCUGUUCCCAUAAGAGAGCUGCUCCAGCUCUCUGGUCGUCUUUGUGGCCCUCCUCUGGACCUGCUCCAACAACUCAAUGUGCAGCUUAAAAACCUGAAAAACAUCAAGGAGGAAAGUAUCAAUUUCGGAUUGGUUCUUUCAGAUAAACUCUGUCCUCUGGAAGACAACUGCAGUUGAACACGUUCAGGAAGAUGAAUUACAAAUAGCCUGCUGGAUUUUUUGAAAAAUAGGUAAUCAGUUUGAUCUUUAUUAUUAUUUCAUCAUAUUAUUUAUAUCAUUUAUUAUUUUAAU